UACGGAGGGUGCGAGCGUUGUUCGGAUUCACUGGGCGUAAAGGGUGCGUAGGCGGUCGGGUAAGUCUGAUGUGAAAUCUCACAGCUUAACUGUGAAACUGCAUUGGAUACUAUCCGGCUCGAGGAAUGGAGGGGAGACUGGAAUACUUGGUGUAGCAGUGAAAUGCGUAGAUAUCAAGUGGAACACCAGUGGCGAAGGCGAGUCUCUGGACAUUCCCUGACGCUGAGGCACGAAAGCCAGGGGAGCAAACGGG
rnacentral:rRNA from 1 species